UGUAGUAUGUUUGUUUGACUAGGUCAGCGCUUCUCAAACUGUGGGUAGCGACCCACUACUGGGUCGGGGAGACAUGCCUGGUGGGGCGCGAACUGACGUG